UACAGAGGGUGCGAGCGUUAAUCGGAAUUACUGGGCGUAAAGCGCGCGUAGGCGGCUUUUCAAGUCGAUUGUGAAAUCCCCGGGCUUAACCUGGGAACUGCAGUCGAGACUGUCUAGCUAGAGUAUGGGAGAGGGAAGUGGAAUUUCAGGUGUAGCGGUGAAAAGCGUAGAUAUCUGAAGGAACACCGGUGGCGAAGGCGGCUUUCUGGACCGAUUACUGACGCUGAUGCGCGAAAGCUAGGGGAGCAAACGGG
rnacentral:rRNA from 1 species